CUCGUGUCGUGAGAUGUUGGGUUAAGUCCGUAACGAGCGCAACCCUUGUCCUUAGUUACCAGCACGUUAUGUGGGCACUCUAAGGAGACUGCCGGUGACAAACCGGAGGAAGGUGGGGAUGACGUCAAGUCAUCAUGGCCCUUACGGCCUGGGCUACACACGUGCUACAAUGGUCGGUACAAAGGGUUGCCAAGCCGCGAGGUGGAGCUAAUCCCAUAAAACCGAUCGUAGUCCGGAUCGCAGUCUGCAACUCGACUGCGUGAAGUCGGAAUCGCUAGUAAUCGUGAAUCAGAAUGUCACGGUGAAUACGUUCCCGGGCCUU
rnacentral:rRNA from 1 species